AGCGGGGCCAGCGGCAGCCAGCGCCGCCCAGCGCCCGGCCCCGGGGUCGCCGCCGCCGCCCGCCUAGCCGAUUCCGCGGUGCCAGCCCCGCUGUGACGCAGGCAGCAGUGCCCGGGAACUUCCUCCCCUGCAGAGACCACCCCGUGCCCGCAGCCGGACAGCGGGAAAUGCCGCCGGCCUCCGAGGACUUUGUUCAGGACUGGGAAAGAAAUCCUCCAGCCGCUUCGAGACCAAGCCACUCCGGUCUCUGAGCCGCCCACCUGGCGGGCUCUGCCGGGGGAAUUGACUGUGUCUAAUACCACCUCCACUCUCAUCCCUAACAAUGCGUGGAAAAACCGUGGACUCUGCGUGGAGCUUUUGCUUCGCUACCGCAGCUCCUCCCCUGGAUCCUUCUGUGGCAUAUGACCUCUUAUGGGAACAUGAAGCUUGAGCUCAAAGGCUGACCUCACACCUUUUGAGUAAAAUGCUUUUCUCUAGUCCUCAGAUGAGGGGGACUGAGAACACCAGACUGGAACAGAAGAGAAGGAAGCAAAACUCGAACAAAAGCUGCAGUUCCAGAGGAAACCCAGCCUUCAAUGACACCCAACAGUCUCUCUUCCUUAGUCAAGGUCUUCGCCACAUUUUUGAGGAUCCAUUUUGAAAUAUGGACAUGAAGCCUGAGAAAUAAACAAACACAGAUCCUGAUGUGAUGUACAGUCAAUGAAAACGAAGUGGACCUAUAGCUUUAUCCUCAUGCUUUUGGCAAGACUGAAGGAUCACAAGAUCAGUUCUAAAUACUGAAGGGAUGAAUAAAGAACUACCCAGGCAUAGUUAUAGGCACAGGUUUUGCCCCCUUCCAAUAAAUACAUGCUCAGGUGCUACUGCAAAUCCUUUAGCACUAAUAUUUUCUGUUACUAGACAAGUGCUGAUUGAAUUUAACAAGGUGGGUGAGUGGAGAAAGAAAACAAAAUGCCUUAUGUGAAUAGGAGGGUGCUAAGAGAAUAUAAAGAUGGAAAUUUUAUUGAAAACACAAGGAAAUAAUGUCAAAUCCACAGAAUUGUUUGAUUGUUUUAAUAACCCAUCAAUAUUAUGCAGUAUUUUAAUUAAACAUAAAAUUCGAACCACGAAACACUUAAAGAACAGAAACAGAUUUUUCUCUAACAAUAAUGUUAUGCAAAUAAACCAAAGCAGCACACCUACUGGAGCUCUACCACAGCACUGAGAUCCCGAGGAUCUUAUUUACCCUGUUUUAACAUAAAUAUUAAGUGACAGCGAAAUAUGGUGACAUAUAUGGGGAAAAUGUUAAGACCGAGGGCAAAAAAUGAAAAUACAGUACUUUGUGACACACAGAUAUACCCUGAUAUAGGUUAGGAAAAGAACAAUAUAUCUUUGUAGGAAUGCUCAAAAACAUUUAUGGUUUUCUUUUAAAUGUCAUAAAUAAUGUAAUAGAACACUCCAUGUUUGAAAGUUAUGAAUUUAAAAAAAUUGCUAUCCUUGCAUUAACCUAAAACCUCUUGCAAUUUUGGAAAACUACUAAAUAUAUCCAAAACUAUUAAGUUGCAAUUGCACUCAUGGAAUAGGUGUAUCUCAAUGUCUGUGUGUUCACGCAAAUAAAAUGAACUGAUGCUAUUUCUAGUAUAAGUCAUAAACUUUUUAAACUUAAUCCUUUAUACUUAGAUUUUGGAAAAUACACUCUUGGAAAUCAAACACCAAUUAAAGUCUCAUAAUUAUAAUCUAGCAAACUUCAUUCUCUUAGUUUAAAAUUCUCUUGAGUGAAUAUAUAUAUAUACACUUGCAAAAUAAAGAUCUGCUCCCACAAUGUAGUAAAGGUGCUAUCAACAUGAAACACUUUUUCAUCUAUAUAUUUCAUAGAUGAAGCAGUGAUGUCAUUGUUCACUGGGUUAGUGCUGUGUUGUUUCAAAAGCUACUUAAAUACUGGUGUAUAAAAUUUAAAUAAAAAGACAUUUUGAAACUAUGGCAUCAAGAGCAACACAGUUUGCACCAGUAACUAUAUCCUAAUGUGUGGAAAGUAGCUUACAAAUUUAUUAUUGGUCCUGCUAGCAAACUGCUCCCAGGAAUUUCCCGAAGUGAUAAGGAAGAUCUAGCCAAUGGCUUUUGCACUUGAACAGAAUCAAUGACUAAACAUGCAGAAGUUCUAGUUUGUCAAGUGAAUGGUAGCAAAUCUGAAUUUUGUUUUGAAAAUUCUUCCUAAAGAAGAGGAUAGGAUUUUUAAAUACAAAUCAUGGCUAUUUGUGUGGCCCAAAACAUUUGAACAUCUCUCAAAAUGUGUAUCACAUUUUUGUGCAAAACUUAAGAUAAUCCUACCCAACACUGAAAUCAGUGCACAUGACAGUUCUACUGGGAAGCACUAAAAUAACCAUCAACUCACAUUUUAAAAAAUGAAAAUAACAAAACCUUGCAUAUAGUCAGAAUCUGUAAAGUCUUAGAAGAAAGUUUGAUCAUUUAUGCCUGGUUCCCUGAGAACGUCAGUGUUCUGGUUAAAGGCAAGUUUUGGUAAGAAGUAUAUAUUUACACUGUUCCUUCCCAUUCAGAAUAAGCAAUAAUGUGUGAGGCAGCUUUUGGUGCUCAGUAUUGUUUAUAGCUAAAAUUUCAUUCGAUGUGAAUAAUUCUUUUCUCUGAACUUCAGUCCAGGCAUGUUCGGCAGAUGAAAGACACUGCAUUUACUGUACUUUAAUAUUUUAAAGACCCACUUUCAACUUUCUGAAACAAAGCAAGGAAAGCAUACACUGCACACCACAAUUUCAUGUUUACAGUACUCUUUACCAAUCAUGUCUUCCAGUUUUUUUCUAGAUGCAGUUAACAGAUUACUUCAGAGUUGUAUCCAAAAUGAGAUGGCAUCAUAAUGGUUAGACCGACUGGAGAAAACACAUUAAAAAUGUAC